AUUGAACGCUGGCGGCAGGCCUAACACAUGCAAGUCGAGCGGAUGAAGGGAGCUUGCUCCUGGAUUCAGCUGCGGACGGGUGGGUAAUGCCUAGGAAUCUGCCUGGUCUUGGGGGAUAACGUCCGUACACGGGCGCUAAUACCGCAUCCGUCCUGAGUGUGAAAGUGGGGGAUCUUCGGACCACACGCUUCUAGAUGAGCCUAGGUCGUAUUAGCUAGUUGGUUGGGUAAAGGCCUACCAAGGCGACGAUCCGUAACUGGUCUGAGAGGAUGAUCAGUCACACUGGAACUGAGACACGGUCCAGACUCCUACGGGAGGCAGCAGUGGGGAAUAUUGGACAAUGGGCGAAAGCCUGAUCCAGCCAUGCCGCGUGUGUGAAGAAGGUCUUCGGAUUGUAAAGCACUUUGAGUUGGGAGGAAGGGCAGUAAGUUAAUACCUUGCUGUUUUGACGUUACCAACAGAAUAAGCACCGGCUAACUUCGUG
rnacentral:rRNA from 1 species